rnacentral:lncRNA from 1 species
GUGUGUCCUCUCUUUGUUAAUUUUUUUUCUUUUUCUCUACCUUUCUACCAGUGGUCAAAGAAGGAGGAGACUCAACAGCUGUUUCUUUCUCCCUUCAUUUUUCCAACAAAGAAGCUUCAUGAGAACAUUAACACCGAAAGAAAAUUGUGUUCACUGCAGGACUUUUCAAGGAUCGGUGGAAAGAUUUAUAAGCUGCAGACUGCGCUCAGCAAGACCUCACCAAAUGGAGGAAAAUUAAAGAGAGAAAUGGUCCAUGGUGUAUUCUUAACCGCCAUAAAUUGGCGUCAUUUUGGCCACCAUCCAGGAGAGAGACACCAGCCUACAGAAACAGAGAAAGAAGAUCAGAAGCCGAUGGAAGGAAGGGAGAUGCGACUUCGCUGGGGAAGAGAGGACUAUCCUCUGCUCCCAUCGCUCACUCACUGAACAACAUUACCCAGCACCUACGUUGAGUGGAAUAAGGCGGGCCACUGUCUUCCAAAGGUAUAUUUCUCUAAGUACUGUCUCCCCAACCUCCAAGACCCUGCCAAGGUUUUGAGAGAACUUCUUUGAGGAAGGAUGAGCAAGGCUCAUACCUACCAGAAGACAGCCCCUCCUGUAUUUCCAUUCUUCCCGAAGUAGAGGUCAUUACAGGCUUCUGUAG